UACGUAGGGUGCAAGCGUUGUCCGGAAUUAUUGGGCGUAAAGAGCUCGUAGGCGGUGUGUCGCGUCUGCUGUGAAAACUCAGGGCUCAACUCUGAGCUUGCAGUGGGUACGGGCACACUAGAGUGCUGUAGGGGAGACUGGAAUUCCUGGUGUAGCGGUGAAAUGCGCAGAUAUCGGGAAGAACACCCGUGGCGAAGGCGGCUCUCUGGGACGGUACUGACGCUGAGACGCGAAAGCGUGGGGAGCGAACAGG
rnacentral:rRNA from 1 species